UGAGGAAUAUUGCACAAUGGGCGCAAGCCUGAUGCAGCGACGCCGCGUGUGGGAUGAAGGGGCUACGCCUCGUAAACCACUGUAGCCCGGGACGAAAAACGCCUUAGAGGCGUUAGACGGUACCGGGAAAGUAAGGGUCGGCUAACUACGUGCCAGCAGCCGCGGUAAUACGUAGGACCCAAGCGUUGUCCGGAUUUACUGGGUGUAAAGCGCGUGCAGGCGGAUUGGAGAGUUGGAUGUGAAAGCUCCCGGCUUAACUGGGAGAGGUCGUUCAAUACUUGCAGUCUUGAGGGCAGUAGAGNGAAGUGGAAUUCCGGGUGUAGUGGUGAAAUGCGUAGAUAUCCGGAGGAACACCAGUGGCGAAAGCGGCUUCCUGGACUGUAACUGACGCUCAGACGCGAAAGCUAGGGUAGCAAACG
rnacentral:rRNA from 1 species